GCUGGCGUAGCUCAGUUGGAAGAGCAGCCGCCUUGUAAGCGGCAGGUCGCGGGUUCGAAUCCCGCCGCCAGCU
rnacentral:tRNA from 1 species